rnacentral:rRNA from 1 species
GAUGAACGCUAGCUACAGGCUUAACACAUGCAAGUCGAGGGGAAACGGCACCGAAAGCUUGCUUUUGAUGGGCGUCGACCGGCGCACGGGUGAGUAACGCGUAUCCAACCUGCCCAUCACUUGGGAAUAACCUUGCGAAAGUAAGACUAAUGCCCAAUGACAUCCCACGAAGGCAUCCGAAUGGGAUUAAAGAUUUAUCGGUGAUGGAUGGGGAUGCGUCUGAUUAGCUUGUUGGCGGGGUGACGGCCCACCAAGGCAACGAUCAGUAGGGGUUCUGAGAGGAAGGUCCCCCACAUUGGAACUGAGACACGGUCCAAACUCCUACGGGAGGCAGCAGUGAGGAAUAUUGGUCAAUGGGCGAGAGCCUGAACCAGCCAAGUAGCGUGCAGGAUGACGGCCCUAUGGGUUGUAAACUGCUUUUAUAAGGGAAUAAAGUGGGUCACGUGUGACUUUUUGCAUGUACCUUAUGAAUAAGGACCGGCUAAUUCCGUG